AGAUUGAACGCUGGCGGCGUGCUUAACACAUGCAAGUCGAUCGGUAACGCGGGGGCAACCCUGGCGACGAGAGGCGGACGGGUGAGUAACGCUUGGGAAUCUGCCCAUCAGCGGGGGGACAACCCGGGGAAACCCGGGCUAAUACCGCAUACGCUCCACGGAGGAAAGCAGGGGACCGCAAGGCCUUGCACUGAUGGAUGAGCCCAAGCCGGAUUAGCUAGUUGGCGGGUAACGCCCACAAGGCGACGAUCCGUAGCUGGUCUGAGAGGACGAUCAGCCACACCGGAACUGAGACACGGUCCGGACUCCUACGGGAGGCAGCAGUGGGAUAUGGACAUGGGGCAACCUGAUCCAGCGACGCGCGUGGUGAGAGCUGCGGUGUAAGCCUUCGGUAGGGACGAAGCUCUCGACCUAACGACGUCGGAGUUGACUUAACCACAAAGAAGCACCGGCUAACUCUGUGCCAGCAGCCGC
rnacentral:rRNA from 1 species